rnacentral:rRNA from 1 species
CCAGACUCCUACGGGAGGCAGCAGUGGGGAAUAUUGCACAAUGGGGGAAACCCUGAUGCAGCAACGCCGCGUGAGUGAAGAAGUCAUUCGUGAUGUAAAGCUCUAUCAGCAGGGAAGAAAAUGACGGUACUCUGUAAGAAAGCUCCGGCUAACUACGUGCCAGCAGCCGCGGUAAUACGUAGGGAGCAAGCGUUGUCCGGAAUUACUGGGUGUAAAGGGAGCGUAGGCGGGAGGAUAAGUUGAAUGUGAAAUCUAUGGGCUCAACCUAUAGCUGCGUUCAAAACUGUUCUUCUUGAGUGAAGUAGAGGCAGGCGGAAUUCCUAGUGUAGCGGUGAAAUGCGUAGAUAUUAGGAGGAACACCAGUGGCGAAGGCGGCCUGCUGGGCUUUUACUGACGCUGAGGCUCGAAAGCGUGGGUAGCAAACAGGAUUAGAUACCCUUGUAC